AUCACCUGGGGACCUUGUUAAAAUGCAGUCUUUGAUUCAGCAAGUCUGGGGUGGGGAGCGAAAUUCUGCAUUUCUAACAAACUCCCAGGUGAUACCAA
rnacentral:pre_miRNA from 1 species